GAACGAUGCCGAUGUCGUGGUGCCGAAUAAUGGCGACGCGAAAGAGAAAUCGAGUAGGGCCCUGGGGAGAGUACACGCGCAAGCGAGAAAUUUAAAGGAAAUUGACGGAAGAACACCACAAGGAGUGGAGUGUGCGGCUUAAUUUGACUCAACGCGGGACAACUUACCGGGCCCGACGACCGUAUGAGUGUAACACACGAUAGGUCGAAGAGUGGUGCAUGGCCGUUAACGACGAGUGGAGUGAUCUUUGGGUUAAGUCCGUAAAUUAGUGAGACCUCAGCCGUAAGGGACAGGUGCGCAAAGCACAGGAAGGAUGGGUCAAGGACAGGUCAGUGAUGCCCUUAGAUGGUCCGGGCUGCACGCGCACUACAGUGGUCGCCGAAAUAAAUUUAUAGAUUUAAAGGCGAUCGAGAGGGAAUGAGCUUUGUAAGAGGCUCAGGAACGAGGAAUUGCUAGUAAUCGCGGACUCAUUAAGACGCGAUGAAUACGUCCCUGUUCUUUGUACACACCGCCCGUCGUUAUCGAAGAUGAAGACAGGCGCGAACGAUCUACCAGAAAGUGAGCGCAGGUCUUUAGAUCUGAUACAAGUCGUAACAAGGUAGCUGUAGGAGAACCUGUAGCUG
rnacentral:rRNA from 1 species